UGCCCCAUGGCUGAGUUGGUUACAGCGUCCGACUGUUACAGUGCGAGAAACUGUGGAAUCGGAAGGUCGUGAGUUCGAGCCUCACUGGGGCAG